UACAGAGGGUGCGAGCGUUAAUCGGAAUGACUGGGCGUAAAGGGCGAGUAGGCGGAUGGAUAAGUGAGGUGAUAAAGACACGGGCUUAACCUGUGGGCGACGCCUUAGACUGUUUAUCUAGAGACGAGGAGAGGGGAGUGGAAUUUCCGGAGGAGUGGUGAAAUACGUAGAUUUCGGAAGGAACACCGGUGGCGAAGGCGACUUUCUGGCCUCGUUCUGACGCUGAGGAGCGAAAGCGUGGGUAGCAAACAGG
rnacentral:rRNA from 1 species